GACGAACGCUGGCGGCGUGCCUAAUACAUGCAAGUUGAGCGCUGAAGGUUGGUACUUGUACCGACUGGAUGAGCAGCGAACGGGUGAGUAACGCGUGGGGAAUCUGCCUUUGAGCGGGGGACAACAUUUGGAAACGAAUGCUAAUACCGCAUAAAAACUUUAAACACAAGUUUUAAGUUUGAAAGAUGCAAUUGCAUCACUCAAAGAUGAUCCCGCGUUGUAUUAGCUAGUUGGUGAGGUAAAGGCUCACCAAGGGGAUGAUACAUAGCCGACCUGAGAGGGUGAUCGGCCAAAUUGGGACUGAGACACGGCCCAAACUCCCACGGGAGGCAGCAGUAGGGAAUCUUCGGCAAUGGACGAAAGGCUGACCGAGCAACGCCGCGUGAGUGAAGAAGGUUUUCGGAUCGUAAAACUCUGUUGGUAGAGAAGAACGUUGGUGAGAGUGGAAAGCUCAUCAAGUGACGGUAACUACACAGAAAGGGACGGCUAACUACGUG
rnacentral:rRNA from 1 species